UACGUAGGUGGCGAGCGUUGUCCGGAUUUACUGGGCGUAAAGGGCGUGCAGGCGGUUUGUUAAGUGCAGGGUGAAAGCUCCCGGCUCAACUGGGAGAGGUCCUUGCAUACUGGCGAACUCGAGGGAGGCAGAGGAAAGUGGAAUUCCCGGUGUAGUGGUGAUAUGCGUAGAUAUUGGGAAGAACACCGGUGGCGAAGGCGGCGCUCUGGACCGAGACUGACGCUGAGGCGCGAAAGCGUGGGGAGCAAACAGG
rnacentral:rRNA from 1 species